GAGUAAAGAAGUAAAAUACAUUUAAUUUCGACUUAAAAUUAAGGUUAUUCCUCAUACUCA
rnacentral:tRNA from 1 species